rnacentral:rRNA from 1 species
GAUGAACGCUGGCGGUAUGCCUAACACAUGCAAGUCGAACGGAGUUCUUCGGAACUUAGUGGCGGACGGGUGAGUAACACGUGAGAACCUACCUCCAGAAUGGGGACAACAGUUGGAAACGACUGCUAAUACCCAAUGUGCAGAAAGGUGAAAGAUUUAUCGUCUGAAGAUGGGUUCGCGUCUGAUUAGCUAGAUGGUGGGGUAAGAGCCUACCAUGGCAACGACCAGUAGCUGGUCUGAGAGGAUGAGCAGCCACACUGGGACUGAGACACGGCCCAGACUCCUACGGGAGGCAGCAGUGGGGAAUUUUCCGCAAUGGGCGAAAGCCUGACGGAGCAAUACCGCGUGAGGGAGGAAGGUCCUUGGAUUGUAAACCUCUUUUAUCAGGGAAGAAGUUCUGACGGUACCUGAUGAAUAAGCAUCGGCUAACUCCGUGCCAGCAGCCGCAGUAAGAC